GCCUAGUUAGCUUGGAAGGUAGAGCUCCUGCCUUGUAAGCAAUAAAUAGUGGGUUCGAAUCCCGUCCGGGGCG
rfam:Asian citrus Psyllid, Diaphorina citri - Florida Strain, whole genome shotgun sequence.